rnacentral:rRNA from 1 species
CUGCAUGGUUGUCGUCAGCUCGUGCCGUGAGGUGUCGGGUUAAGUCCCAUAACGAGCGCAACCCUAUCAUUAGUUGCCAUCAGGUCAAGCUGGGGACUCUAAUGAAACUGCCUACGCGAAGUAGUGAGGAAGGUGGGGAUGACGUCCAAAUCAGCACGGCCCUUACGUCCAGGGCUACACACGUGUUACAAUGGCCGGUACAAAGGGCAGCUACUUCGCGAGAAGAUGCUAAUCUCGAAAGCCGGUCUCAGUUCGGAUCGAAGUCUGCAACCCGACUUCGUGAAGCUGGAUUCGCUAGUAAUCGCGCAUCAGCCAUGGCGCGGUGAAUACGUUCCCGGGCCUU